rnacentral:rRNA from 1 species
UGUGUGUUCAGUGCGACUUAGUCUGUCCCUGCCCUUUACUGUGCUAUAAUACUGCUCCUUCGAGACUUGACAGCAUCGAACUGAUGAGCCUCGCCGCGACGGUGGAUGGGUGCAUGGCCGUUCUUAGUUGGUGGAGCGAUUUGUCUGGUUAAUUCCGAUAACGAACGAGACUCUAGCCUAUUAAAUAGGUGCGGGGUUCCCAGCACCUUACAACCUUCUUAGAGGGACAAGCGGCUCCUAGCCGCACGAAACAGAGCAAUAACAGGUCUGUGAUGCCCUUAGAUGUCCGGGGCCGCACGCGCGCUACACUGAAGGAAGCAGCGUGUCUUUAUCCCUGUCUGAAAAGACUGGGUAACCCGUGGAACUUCUUUCGUGAUUGGGAUAGGGGCUUGCAAUUGUUCCCCUUGAACGAGGCAUUCCCAGUAAGCACGAGCCAUAAGCUCGCGUUGAUUAC